UGCGGGGUAGAGCAGAGGCAGCUCGUCGGGCUCAUAACCCGGAGGUCACAGGUUCGAAUCCUGUCCCCGCUA
rnacentral:tRNA from 4 species